AAAUUUUCAAAUUUAACACAUUAUAGGAUUCCUACAGUAAAUCAUGAUAACAAAAAUUAUAUUUUCAGAUAUGGUAAUAAAUUUUUUGUCCAACGGAAUAUUGAAAGAUAUUGUUUCAUCACGUGAGAUAAACCCUCUGAUAAACACUUAAAAGUAAUUGAUAGUAACACAAAGUUCUUUCACUCCAAAACUACGGCUAGAAAGAGGAAAAAUAAAAUUUGAGGAUUGGAGUACAAAGAAGCAACUGGAAAGAAGAUGGGGAAGCUGUGGAAAGAGAGUUUGUGAUCACAUAUUCAAACCCAAGCCAAGCUCAGCUCAGAUGAAUGCUGCUUAGAAGGGUUUAAUGCCAAAGAUAAUAGCUGCUAUGAAUGAUCAAUUGGAUGCCCCAUUUAUAACCGAGGAGAUUUCAGAAGCUCUCUCGCAAAUGUGCCCCCAAAGGCAACUGGCCCUGAUGGUUUCCAUGCAAUCUUAGUAUGUAGGCAAAGGAGUGAUCCAAACUUGCUUGCACAUUUUGAAUGAGCAAGGUAAUAUCACUCCCUUAAAUCAUACAUUCAUUGCUUUGAUUCCUAAAGUUGCCAAGCCCAGAAAGGUCAACGAGUACAAACUUAUCAGUUUAUGUAAUGUUCUUUAUGGAAUUGUUGCUAAAGUUAUUGCUAAUAGGCAUAAGCAAAUUUUCACCAUAUCAUUUCCCAAUCUCAAAGUGUAUUCAUUCCCAAUAGGCUUGUUAUUGACAAUAUAUUUAUUGGGUAUGAAUAUAAAAUAAGACAACAAAAUAAUAAGAAAUGGUUUAGUAGCUCUAAAGCUUGACAUUAGUAAAGCUUAUGAUAGAGUAGAGUAGGCCUUCUUAGAGCAUGUUAUGAGAAAAUUAGGCUUCACUAAAAAAUGCGUGCCUUUAAUUAUGAAUUGUAUUAUAACACCUUCUUUAACAGUAAUCAUCAAUGGGGUUGCCAAAGGCUUGAUCCAAGCUUAGAGAGGACUGAGGCAGGGGUGUUUACUUUGACCAUACUUGUUUAUUAUGCGUGUAGAACCUUUUCUAAUCUUCUAGUGUAGGCGGAAAGGUAGAAAUGAUAUGUGGGCUCAAGUUUGAUAAGUAAGCGACAGUCUCACAUUUGUUAUUUGUUGGUCACAAUUUUAUUUUCACCAGAGCAUCUGUCGAGGACUGUAGAAACCUAAAAGCAAUUUUUGACUGCUACGUAGCUCCCUCAAGACAAAUCUUUAACUAUGAAAAAUCUUCAAUGUUCUUCAGUUGGAAGCUUCAAGCUGAGCAAAUAAUAACCAAAGAAGAUAUCUUCCAAUUGAAUAUGGUGUCUAGAUAUAAAAAAUAUUUAGGAUUACUAUUUAUGAUUGGAAGGAAAAAGAUAAGUUUCUUUAAUGAAGUGAAGCUUUUAAGUCUUUAGUAAGAUCUCAAAUUGGCAACACUAAGCUAAUCACCAGUAGCGGCAAAGAAGUGUUAAUAAAGGUUGUGGCUUAGUGGGCUUGGCAAUUUGGGGGCUUAAGUUAGGCUUUUUCAAGUUCAAGCCCAAGUACUUAGAAACAGGCUUAGGCCCUCUAAAUACCCAUCCAGGCUUAAGUGGGUCGAGCUUAGGCUGGGUUUGGGCUUUUAUCAAACUUUUAGAUAAAUUUUUAAUAAAUCGACAAUGAUGCUUUCUUAUUUAAAAAUUGAAUGUUGUGGUCCUUCUUUCAAAAAUCAACACUGAUGCUUCACAUUAAUCCUCUAGUUGGAUCCAAUAUUGACUUGUCAGUUCAUGUACUUAUAAUCCUAAUCAAAUAUGAGAAAAUAAAACUAUUUACCAAAUUUGCAUAGUUUUACCAUAAGGUCAUUAGCAUUUCGGGCAUGGAGUAAGCCUAUUAUUGUGAAGAUCGAUUAUUGCAAAUUGUAAAGAAGAAUUACAACUUUAUAAUCACAUUAAUAUAUAUACACACACACACACACACACAUAAAUUAAAUUUUCACAAGAAAUGAAAAAAUCGAAACUAGCACUUUUUUUGUACCUCAAAGAUCACGUGAGUUCGAGACUUCGAGUGGGUUCGUUGCUGCUGUGUCCAUGCGUGCGUUGUGCUGCAGGCCCUGCUUGUGUUAGGUUCGUUGUUGUGUCGUGUGCUGGGCUCACGACUCACAUGGCUACUUGUUGCCUGCUGCAAUGAUUUUCUAACUUGCGUGCUGGGCUCAUGACGAUCAGUGGAGAUAAUGGCUGUGAGACAGUGGGGGUGUGGCUGUCGGCUGCUGGUGGUAGGCGAUUGCUGUGCUGCAGUGCUUUCGUUUCACUUGUUUAAUUUAGUGUUGGAGAUAUGGUUGCCUG
rnacentral:lncRNA from 1 species